UCUCCUUACACUUCGGCCUCAGUUUCUCCUCUGUGCGGUGGGGACGGGAGAGUGCCUGGCUCCGUGGGGUGGUUCGGGACAAUCUCCAGCCCAACGUUGAUUCUUCAGUUUAUAAGCAACAUCUGUCACCUGUGAACAGGUGACACAGCCCCACCCCCACUGGAGAUGUCUGGGCAUCUGAAAGCUGAGACCCCUUUGACAGUGAGGGACCUGAGUCUCAGAGGAGGAAGUAGUUUACCAAGUCACCUGGAUCAUGGCAAAAGAAUAUCUGGAAGUCAGAUCCAAGUGACUCUGGCCCCUUUGGGUCCCAGAAAAGCCAAUGACUGUUUUAGCUUCCUGCCAUCUUGGAGUCUGACCCCACCUUGGUUUACCUUCCAGAUCUGCCACUCACUGCUGUGUGACCUCAGGAGGUGGCUUGAUCUCUCUGUUCCGGGGCUGCCACCCAAAGUUUCCUGGAGGUCAGACUUCUGCCAGAUUGAGGGCACUUAGAUUGUUUUGGAUGCCACUCCCCUGGACUGGCCUGGCUCCCACUGCCUCAAGUUCCCUUGUGUCCCAUGAGUUAGCCACUGAGCCAUUUGGAUCCUGUGGUCUGGCCGGGAAGGAAUGAGGAAGGGAGAUUGGCCAUCACUUUCACUAUGACUCUAACUUCCACUCCUGAGUUCCUUCCUGACCAUCAGCUUCUUCUUUUUGCCCCAAGUUCUGGGUACUGCUGGCUGUGUGACCCCAAGGAAGUCACUAUGCCUCUCUGAGUAUGUUUCCUCAUUGGUAAGGGAGGGUCCCUCAAGACGUGCUGGGCACACAGGCGGCCCUUGUGGGUCUGCUCUAGAUGAGGU
rnacentral:lncRNA from 1 species